GUUGUUUAUGUGCUACAUAUUUGUUUUUCGUUCAUUUUUUUACAUAAAUAAGGCCGUUGGUUUUCUCGUUUGAAUUGUUUUACAUUGUCUUAUCAGGGCCUUUUAUAGCUCACUAUGCGGUAUGGGCUUUGCUCAUUGUUGAAGGCCGUACGGUGACCUAUAGUUGUUAAUGUCUGUGUCAUUUUGGUCUUUUGUGGAUAGUUGUCUCAUUGGCAAUCAUACCACAUCUUCUUUUUUAAAUUGUAGUUUU
rnacentral:lncRNA from 1 species